rnacentral:rRNA from 2 species
UUAAGCGACUAAGCGUACACGGUGGAUGCCCUGGCAGUCAGAGGCGAUGAAGGACGUGCUAAUCUGCGAUAAGCGUCGGUAAGGUGAUAUGAACCGUUAUAACCGGCGAUUUCCGAAUGGGGAAACCCAGUGUGUUUCGACACACUAUCAUUAACUGAAUCCAUAGGUUAAUGAGGCGAACCGGGGGAACUGAAACAUCUAAGUACCCCGAGGAAAAGAAAUCAACCGAGAUUCCCCCAGUAGCGGCGAGCGAACGGGGAGCAGCCCAGAGCCUGAAUCAGUGUGUGUGUUAGUGGAAGCGUCUGGAAAGGCGCGCGAUACAGGGUGACAGCCCCGUACACAAAAAUGCACAUGCUGUGAGCUCGAUGAGUAGGGCGGGACACGUGGUAUCCUGUCUGAAUAUGGGGGGACCAUCCUCCAAGGCUAAAUACUCCUGACUGACCGAUAGUGAACCAGUACCGUGAGGGAAAGGCGAAAAGAACCCCGGCGAGGGGAGUGAAAAAGAACCUGAAACCGUGUACGUACAAGCAGUGGGAGCACGCUUAGGCGUGUGACUGCGUACCUUUUGUAUAAUGGGUCAGCGACUUAUAUUCUGUAGCAAGGUUAACCGAAUAGGGGAGCCGAAGGGAAACCGAGUCUUAACUGGGCGUUAAGUUGCAGGGUAUAGACCCGAAACCCGGUGAUCUAGCCAUGGGCAGGUUGAAGGUUGGGUAACACUAACUGGAGGACCGAACCGACUAAUGUUGAAAAAUUAGCGGAUGACUUGUGGCUGGGGGUGAAAGGCCAAUCAAACCGGGAGAUAGCUGGUUCUCCCCGAAAGCUAUUUAGGUAGCGCCUCGUGAAUUCAUCUCCGGGGGUAGAGCACUGUUUCGGCAAGGGGGUCAUCCCGACUUACCAACCCGAUGCAAACUGCGAAUACCGGAGAAUGUUAUCACGGGAGACACACGGCGGGUGCUAACGUCCGUCGUGAAGAGGGAAACAACCCAGACCGCCAGCUAAGGUCCCAAAGUCAUGGUUAAGUGGGAAACGAUGUGGGAAGGCCCAGACAGCCAGGAUGUUGGCUUAGAAGCAGCCAUCAUUUAAAGAAAGCGUAAUAGCUCACUGGUCGAGUCGGCCUGCGCGGAAGAUGUAACGGGGCUAAACCAUGCACCGAAGCUGCGGCAGCGACGCUUAUGCGUUGUUGGGUAGGGGAGCGUUCUGUAAGCCUGCGAAGGUGUGCUGUGAGGCAUGCUGGAGGUAUCAGAAGUGCGAAUGCUGACAUAAGUAACGAUAAAGCGGGUGAAAAGCCCGCUCGCCGGAAGACCAAGGGUUCCUGUCCAACGUUAAUCGGGGCAGGGUGAGUCGACCCCUAAGGCGAGGCCGAAAGGCGUAGUCGAUGGGAAACAGGUUAAUAUUCCUGUACUUGGUGUUACUGCGAAGGGGGGACGGAGAAGGCUAUGUUGGCCGGGCGACGGUUGUCCCGGUUUAAGCGUGUAGGCUGGUUUUCCAGGCAAAUCCGGAAAAUCAAGGCUGAGGCGUGAUGACGAGGCACUACGGUGCUGAAGCAACAAAUGCCCUGCUUCCAGGAAAAGCCUCUAAGCAUCAGGUAACAUCAAAUCGUACCCCAAACCGACACAGGUGGUCAGGUAGAGAAUACCAAGGCGCUUGAGAGAACUCGGGUGAAGGAACUAGGCAAAAUGGUGCCGUAACUUCGGGAGAAGGCACGCUGAUAUGUAGGUGAAGCGACUUGCUCGUGGAGCUGAAAUCAGUCGAAGAUACCAGCUGGCUGCAACUGUUUAUUAAAAACACAGCACUGUGCAAACACGAAAGUGGACGUAUACGGUGUGACGCCUGCCCGGUGCCGGAAGGUUAAUUGAUGGGGUUAGCGCAAGCGAAGCUCUUGAUCGAAGCCCCGGUAAACGGCGGCCGUAACUAUAACGGUCCUAAGGUAGCGAAAUUCCUUGUCGGGUAAGUUCCGACCUGCACGAAUGGCGUAAUGAUGGCCAGGCUGUCUCCACCCGAGACUCAGUGAAAUUGAACUCGCUGUGAAGAUGCAGUGUACCCGCGGCAAGACGGAAAGACCCCGUGAACCUUUACUAUAGCUUGACACUGAACAUUGAGCCUUGAUGUGUAGGAUAGGUGGGAGGCUUUGAAGUGUGGACGCCAGUCUGCAUGGAGCCGACCUUGAAAUACCACCCUUUAAUGUUUGAUGUUCUAACGUUGACCCGUAAUCCGGGUUGCGGACAGUGUCUGGUGGGUAGUUUGACUGGGGCGGUCUCCUCCUAAAGAGUAACGGAGGAGCACGAAGGUUGGCUAAUCCUGGUCGGACAUCAGGAGGUUAGUGCAAUGGCAUAAGCCAGCUUGACUGCGAGCGUGACGGCGCGAGCAGGUGCGAAAGCAGGUCAUAGUGAUCCGGUGGUUCUGAAUGGAAGGGCCAUCGCUCAACGGAUAAAAGGUACUCCGGGGAUAACAGGCUGAUACCGCCCAAGAGUUCAUAUCGACGGCGGUGUUUGGCACCUCGAUGUCGGCUCAUCACAUCCUGGGGCUGAAGUAGGUCCCAAGGGUAUGGCUGUUCGCCAUUUAAAGUGGUACGCGAGCUGGGUUUAGAACGUCGUGAGACAGUUCGGUCCCUAUCUGCCGUGGGCGCUGGAGAACUGAGGGGGGCUGCUCCUAGUACGAGAGGACCGGAGUGGACGCAUCACUGGUGUUCGGGUUGUCAUGCCAAUGGCACUGCCCGGUAGCUAAAUGCGGAAGAGAUAAGUGCUGAAAGCAUCUAAGCACGAAACUUGCCCCGAGAUGAGUUCUCCCUGAC